rnacentral:lncRNA from 1 species
UUUACAAACCCUAAAUCCUAAUUCUAAAAUCGGGCUGAAUUGGGCUGAGUGAAUCGGGCCUAGACAGUGAAAUCGGGCUAUGGAGUGAAAUCGGGCCUAGGCGGAGAGUUGGGCCAGCUCUGGACUUUAUCUUGUGGGUUAUAACUCUCAUCUAUCAGCCCAAUAGUUAAACGGGUUAAACGGAUUAAACGGGUCAGACAUCUAAAACCCGUAUCCGACCCAAUUAAUUAACAGGUUAAACGGGUC